CGCGUAGGCGGCCCGCUAAGUCGAACGUGAAAUCCCCGAGCUCAACUCGGGAACUGCGUCCGAUACUGGUGGGCUUGAAUCCGGGAGAGGGAUGCGGAAUUCCAGGUGUAGCGGUGAAAUGCGUAGAUAUCUGGAGGAACACCGGUGGCGAAGGCGGCAUCCUGGACCGGCAUUGACGCUGAGGCGCGAAAGCUAGGGAGCAAACG
rnacentral:rRNA from 1 species